CUGGCGGUAGGCUUAACACAUGCAAGUCGUGCGAGAAAGUAUCUUCGGAUAUGAGUAGAGCGGCGGACGGGUGAGUAACGCGUAGGAAUCUACCUAGUAGAAGGGGAUAGCCCGAGGAAACUCGGAUUAAUACCGUAUACCUCCUUAGGGAGAAAGAGGGCCUCUCUUGAUGCUCUCGCUAUUAGAUGAGCCUGCGUAAGAUUAGCUUGUUGGUGAGGUAAUGGCUCACCAAGGCUACGAUCUUUAGCUGGUCUGAGAGGACGAUCAGCCACAUUGGGACUGAGACACGGCCCAGACUCCUACGGGAGGCAGCAGUGGGGAAUAUUGGACAAUGGGCGCAAGCCUGAUCCAGCCAUACCGCGUGUGUGAAGAAGGCCUUCGGGUUGUAAAGCACUUUAAGCAGGGAGAAAAAGCUAUAAGUUAAUACCUUAUAGCCCUGAUGUUACCUGCAGAAUAAGCACCGGCUAAUUCCGUGCCAGCAGCCGCGGUAAUACGGAAGGUGCAAGCGUUAAUCGGAAUUACUGGGCGUAAAGCGCGCGUAGGUGGUUUGUUAAGUUGGAUGUGAAAGCCCUGGGCUCAACCUAGGAACUGCAUCCAAAACUAACUCACUAGAGUACGAUAGAGGGAGGUAGAAUUCAUAGUGUAGCGGUGGAAUGCGUAGAUAUUAUGAAGAAUACCAGUGGCGAAGGCGGCCUCCUGGAUCUGUACUGACACUGAGGUGCGAAAGCGUGGGUAGCGAACAGGAUUAGAUACCCUGGUAGUCCACGCCGUAAACGAUGACAACUAGCUGUUGGGAAACAAAGUUUCUCAGUGGCGCAGCUAACGUUUUAAGUUGUCCGCCUGGGGAGUACGGCCGCA
rnacentral:rRNA from 1 species